rnacentral:rRNA from 1 species
UACGUAGGAGGCGAGCGUUGUCCGGAUUUACUGGGCGUAAAGCGCGCGCAGGCGGCAUGGCAAGUAAGGUGUGAAAAUCCAGGGCUCAACCCUGGACCUGCAGUGGGUACGGGCAGACUAGAGUGCGGUAGGGGAGAUCGGAAUUCCUGGUGUAGCGGUGAAAUGCGCAGAUAUCAGGAAGAACACCGGCGGCGAAGGCGGCACUCUGGGCCGGUACUGACGCUGAGGAGCGAAAGCGUGGGUAGCAAACAGG